GCAAGAUUUAUAGGGUAUGUAGUGAAUGCCUUGGCACCAGCAGGCGAUGAAGGACGUGGUAAGCUGCGAUAAGCUCCGGACAGCCGCAAGCAGGCUUUGACCCGGAGAUCUCCGAAUGGGAUAACCUGUGAUGAUUCAUGUCAUCACGUGACGCUCUGAAUACAUAGGAGCGUCGACGCAACACCGCCCGAAGUGAAACAUCUCAGUAAGGCGAGGAAAAGAAAGCGAAUGCGAUUCCGUCAGUAGUGGCGAACGAAAGCGGACCAGCCUAAACCGGAAAUUUAUUUCCGGGGUUCGGGGCCCGAUGUGGUAGUUGAACAGUUAGGUGAAGCGAAUGGAAAAUCGCUCCAAAGAGGGUGAGAGGCCCGUAACCGAAAACUCGACAACGCCUAGGGAUUCCCAGAGUAACACGAUCCACGUGGCAUUUCGUGUGAAGAUGUGCCGACCACGGCAUAAGGCUAAAUACUAGCUGGUGACCGACAGUGAACAAGUACCGCGAGGGAAAGGUGAAAAGAACCGCCGUGAGCGGAGUGAAAUAGUACCUGAAACCACAUACCUACAAGGUGUCAGAGCCGGCUUGUCCGGUGAUGGCGUGCCUUUUGCAAAAUGAGUCUGCGAGUCAGUCUGUGUGGCAAGCCUAAGUCCUUCUGGGACGGAGGCGGAGCGAAAGCGAGUCCGAACAGGGCGACAAGUCGCACGGGCUGAACCCGAAGCGGAGGCGAUCUACCCAUGGCCAGGUUGAAGCGUUGGUAAUACGACGUGGAGGACCGAACUGGUGAACCUUGAGACGUUCUCGGAUGAGCUGUGGGUAGGAGUGAAAGGCUAAUCAAGCCCCGUAAUAGCUGGUUCUCCCCGAAAUGUAUUUAGGUGCAGCGUCAUGCGCUGAUCGGGGGGGGUAGAGCACUGAAUGAGCUAGGGGGCACACCCGCCUACCAAACUCAAUCAAACUCCGAAUACCCCUGAAUGUAGCAUGGCAGUAAGACAGUGGGGGAUAAGCUUCAUUGUCGAAAGGGAAACAGCCCAGCCCUGCAGCUAAGGUGCCUAAAUGCCGCUAAGUGGAAAGGAGGUGAGAUUUCAUUGACAGUGAGGAUGUUGGCUUAGAAGCAGCCACCAUUUAAACAGUGCGUAAUAGCUGACUCAUCGAGAGAUCUCGCGCCGAAAAUGAUUGGCGAUAAGCGGCAUACCGAAGCUCUGGAUUGUACCGGCUACGGCCGGUGCAGUGGUAGGGGAGCGUUCUGUGAGCGUCGAAGCGUGAAGGUGACUGACCGUGGAGUUCACAGAAGUGAGGAUGCAGACAUAAGUAACGUUAAGGGCGGUGAAAUCCCGCCCCGCCGUAAACCCAAGGUUUCCUGGGCAACGAUAUUCGUCCCAGGGUUAGUCGGGAGCUAAGUCAAGGCCGUAUGGCGUCGGCGAUGCACAUCGGGUUAAUAUUCCCGAACCGGCUAUGGUUAAACCACACGUGCGUGGAAAUUGAGAAAGCAUGCCGGCUGAAAGUGGCAGAAGGAGGCGGGGCAACCCAAAUCCGGUCUUUUGAUCCGACCACCGAGAAAAGCGUUGUGGCCCUUUCCAUGGCCGCCCGUACCGCAAACCGACACAGGUGGGUGGGUAGAAUAUACCAAGGCGAAAGAGUGAAACCUCGUUAAGGAACUCUGCAAUCUAGUCCCGUAACUUCGGAAGAAGGGAUGCCCUCUUAGGAGGGUCGCAGUGAAAGGGGACAACCGACUGUUUAUCAAAAACACAGCAUUGUGCCAAGACGAAAGUCCAAGUAUACGAUGUGACACGUGACCAAUGCGGAAAGAUUAAGGCAAGGGGUCAGCCGCAAGGCGAAGCUCUGAACCUAAGUCCCCGUGAAUGUCGGCCGUAACUAUAACGGUCCUAAGGUAGCGAAAUUCCUUGUCGGGUAAGUUCCGACCUGCA
rnacentral:rRNA from 1 species